GACGUAGGGUCCGAGCGUUGUCCGGAUUUACUGGGCGUAAAGAGCUCGUAGGUGGUUUGUCGCGUUGUUCGUGAAAACUCACAGCUCAACUGUGGGCGUGCGGGCGAUACGGGGCAGACUAGAGUACUGCAGGGGAGACUGGAAUUCCUGGUGUAGCGGUGGAAUGCGCAGAUAUCAGGAGGAACACCGGUGGCGAAGGCGGGUCUCUGGGCAGUGAACUGACGCUGGAGGAGCGAAAGCGUGGGGAGCGAACAGG
rnacentral:rRNA from 1 species